rnacentral:rRNA from 1 species
UACGUAGGGUGCGAGCGUUGUCCGGAAUUACUGGGCGUAAAGAGCUCGUAGGUGGUUUGUCGCGUUGUUCGUGAAAACUCACAGCUCAACUGUGGGCGUGCGGGCGAUACGGGCAGACUGGAGUACUGCAGGGGAGACUGGAAUUCCUGGUGUAGCGGUGGAAUGCGCAGAUAUCAGGAGGGACACCGGUGGCGAAGGCGGGUCUCUGGGCAGUAACUGACGCUGAGGAGCGAAAGCGUGGGGAGCGAACAGG